rnacentral:pre_miRNA from 12 species
CUCCUCAAGGCCCCGUCUCCCAACCCUGUACCAUGGUGUGCCAGUCCCUGGUACAGGCAUGGGGGGCAGGGACCUGGGGAC